rnacentral:rRNA from 1 species
AUUGAACGCUGGCGGCAGGCUUAACACAUGCAAGUCGAGCGGGGUGAUGGUGCUUGCACUAUCACUUAGCGGCGGACGGGCGAGUAAUGCUUAGGAAUCUGCCUAUUAGUGGGGGACAACAUCUCGAAAGGGAUGCUAAUACCGCAUACGUCCUACGGGAGAAAGCAGGGGAUCACUUGUGACCUUGCGCUAAUAGAUGAGCCUAAGUCGGAUUAGCUAGUUGGUGGGGUAAAGGCCUACCAAGGCGACGAUCUGUAGCGGGUCUGAGAGGAUGAUCCGCCACACUGGGACUGAGAAACGGCCCAGACGCCUACGGGAGGCAGCAGUGGGGAAUAUUGGACAAUGGGGGGAACCCUGAUCCAGCCAUGCCGCGUGUGUGAAGAAGGCCUUAUGGUUGUAAAGCACUUUAAGCGAGGAGGAGGCUCUUUUGGUUAAUACCCAAGAUGAGUGGACGUUACUCGCAGAAUAAGCACCGGCUAACUCUGUGCCAGCCGCCGCCGUAA